AGGCGUUUCGCUAUUAGCGUGUUUCAUGUGACGUAGGGCUGCGUAAGCAGCCGUUGGUGGGGUUCGCGGUGUAGAUUAGGCUCAGCACUAUAUAAGCGCUGGUGCUGUGCGGCUCCUUCCUUUUCCUUUGUCAUUAGCCUCGGUCAGGUUCAGGGUGCGAUUUUGUUGAGGUCCUUGGCGUGGCGGACACGUGCGGUGCCGUUGUUGCCGGUGAUACCACGUGGCAGGUUUUUGUGAGUUGGCUGCUAGGACCCCAACAUCUACGAU